rnacentral:rRNA from 1 species
GAUGAACGCUGACAGAAUGCUUAACACAUGCAAGUCAACUUGAACUUCGGUUUGGGUGGCGGACGGGUGAGUAACGCGUAAAGAACUUGCCUCACAGAUAGGGACAACAUUUGGAAACGAAUGCUAAUACCUGAUAUUAUGAUUUUAGGGCAUCCUAGAAUUAUGAAAGCUAUAUGCGCUGUGAGAGAGCUUUGCGUCCCAUUAGCUAGUUGGAGAGGUAACGGCUCACCAAGGCGAUGAUGGGUAGCCGGCCUGAGAGGGUGAUCGGCCACAAGGGGACUGAGACACGGCCCUUACUCCUACGGGAGGCAGCAGUGGGGAAUAUUGGGCAAUGGACCAAGAGUCUGAUCCAGCAAUUCUGUGUGCACGAUGAAGUUUUUCGGAAUGUAAAGUGCUUUCAGUUGGGAAGAAAAAAAUGACGGUACCAACAGAAGAAGUGACGGCUAAAUACGUGCCAGCAGCCGCGGUAAUACGUAUGUCACAAGCGUUAUCCGGAUUUAUUGGGCGUAAAGCGCGUCUAGGUGGUUAUAUAAGUCUGAUGUGAAAAUGCAGGGCUCAACUCUGUAUUGCGUUGGAAACUGUGUAACUAGAGUACUGGAGAGGUAAGCGGAACUACAAGUGUAGAGGUGAAAUUCGUAGAUAUUUGUAGGAAUGCCGAUGGGGAAGCCAGCUUACUGGACAGAUACUGACGCUGAAGCGCGAAAGCGUGGGUAGCAAACAGG